rnacentral:tRNA from 1 species
GCCCUUGUAGCUCAGCCUGGAUAGAGCGACUGCCUUCUAAGCAGUAGGUCGCAGGUUCAAAUCCUGUCAAGGGCA